UUUCCCUCCUCCGCUGCCAUCUGAUACCUGAGGACAUGUGGGACGGACAGUGAAUGAGACGACAGACGCAAAAUAACCACAGACAAAGAAUCAGGAGCAUCUGCAGCACUGGCUCCUCUGGUGGUCACACAGAGGAACUACAGAGGAAACAUCCAAACCCCCACCUGCUCAGUUCAGAAAGAAGUAACUUGAUAUGUGAAGAAAAGAGGAAACUGAAAAACAGCCGAGUGGAGAGGAAGCGUCGUGACCUGGUUUCUCACCAGGAGAGCAGAAGAGGGGGUGCGGCGCCACAUGAGGGAAACAGACAGAGGCUGAUCUGCUGAGUGGCUGCUGCUGAAUUAUUAAAGUGACGAGCGACUUACUUGGAGAAGCG